rnacentral:lncRNA from 1 species
GUACACCUCUUCAUUCCUACUUCACCUCAACUCUCUCAUUCAGAUCUUUCAUCCACUUAACGUAGCAUUAUUUUUAAGUGUUCAUUGUUGAAAACACGAAUGUCAUGAUCACCAAAUUUUCUCAUUUUUUUUCGUGUUGCCAAAAGUCAUCGAACUAAGAUUCAUUGACCUUUUGUCGUUGAAAUGAUAUUGAGGUCCCUACCAAACUGAAAUGAGUCAUUCACGGGAAUUAAAGUAUACAUUUUUUUAAAUUUCUUUGUUAAAAAUCCAACAUUUCUUACUUAUGGAUUCCAAUGGAAAUUUUUUGUAAUUUUUUUCUUAAAAAUGACUCAUUUUAGAUCAUAUGAGGUUUUCCAUCCCCAAAUUUUCUACUUUUUUCGUGUUGUCAAAAGUCAUCCAUGUUAACUUGGAUUCACUGACCUUUUUGCAUUGAAAACAAUAUUGAGGUCCCUACCGAUAUGAAAUGAGUCAUUCACUACUGACUUAGGGAGUCAAUCAAGGUAUACAUUUGUUUAAAUUUCCUCUUAAAAAAUUUGACUAUUCUUACUUUUUCUGAGUUUUUAGUGGAAUAUUUUUGUAUUUUUCUCUUAAAAAUGGGUCAUUUUAAAUCAUAAAAGGUUUUCUAUUUACAUUUUUUGUAUUAUUUUGGUUAAAGAAAUCUUUGACAUCCUUUUUAUGGCUAAAAUGAGCCAUUCACUAUUUACUUUGGGAGUCAAUGUGUUGGACCAGACUACCACUGGGGAGGAGUUCCAUUGUUACAUGGGCAUGGGAAGAGUGAAGAGUCACAAGUGAGACACCACAUCUUGAACCAAAACCUUAAGGCAUUAGUUUCAUAGGUCUUUCCUUCUUAUAAACUCUUUCGCUCCUCCCUACAUAUCCAAUGUGGGACUUCACACUUGAAUAAAUCCAACAAUCUCCCCCUCAAGUGUGGGUACCACACUUUCCGGUCCGCUCCCCUUCAGUCCACCAUGUCCCAGCCGAACCAUCGGCAAUGAUACCACUUUAUGGACCAGAAUGCUACCGGGGAGCCUCCAACCGUCGGGGAGUUCCAUUGUUACAUGGGUAUGGGAAGAGUGAAGAGUUACAAGUGAGACACCACGUCUUGAACCAAAAGUUUUGAUAUUUUGAUAUUUUUUUAAUAUCAAAAUACAGUAUUUUUUACUUUAUCUUGGUUUUCAUAUUUUUUUGUAGAUUCAUUAGUAAAAAUGAGGCCUUUAAUAUUGUAUCACAAAGUUUGCUGUUUAUGAGUUGUUGGCAUCACUACAAUUAGGGGCAUACGUAAUGAUUUAUGAUCUCCUAUUGUAUUGGUACCCACUUUCAAAUGUGUGGUUUAUGACCUUUAAUGUUUUUGAUUGAUUUGAGUGUUUUGAAUGCCAUUACAAUUUUUAUUACUAGCUUUACUCUAAAAUGAAUUGAAGAAGAAAUAUAUUACCUUCUAUGAUAUUUGAUAUGCAUUACUAAUGACUUAUUUAUUAUGUAAUAUUCUCUGAUAUUGUGUUUGAAAUUACUGCUAAAUGAUCUUUACUCUCUACCCAUUUUCAUUAUCAUUGAUUUUCAAAAUCAUUAUUAUUGUUUUUCAUUAUCACAUCAAUAUGCUAUCCUCACUGAUUCUAAUUUUUGCUGGUUGUUACUACCUUAUAUCUUUCCACUAAGUGGUAGUUAAUUUACGGUAUAACCACUUUGGAUAUUGGGUGCAUAUUUUGUUUUUACUGAUUAGCUUCAGUUGUUGAAUGAUAAUCUUUCAUUGGGUCUAAAGUUUAUGAAAUUGACUCUCUACAUGUCCAUCGUCACUUGGUGUUCAUUUUUUCACAUUAUAAUUUUAAUGUAAGUAAAGAUCACAAUUCAUACCUCAAUUAUUUUGACUAUUCCAUGUCUAUGUCUAAUAGACAUUGUCACAACUUGAAUUCAUCUAACUCUCUACAUUUGCUUUCAUCGUUGGUGGUUGUACAUUUCAUUGUUGACAUAUAUUAAUGUUUGUACAUUCUCUUAUCUAUUAUUUUUAUGUGUGUACUAAAUUGUUUAUUAAGUAAUGGAUGAUUCUUUGUAGUCUAUGUUUAUUAGACAUCCUUAAUUACUACUUCUUGAUUUACCAGAUGAACUCUUGUAUUAUUGUCUUCUCUUAACUAAAUUGCUGAAUGAAUAAUUGUUAAAUGGUUUUUAACUGUUGCUGCAGUAUCAUUUUUACUAUGACAUGCUAUUACUAAAUUGGGUUUGGGCAUUUUGUUGUACAAUGCUUACAUAUUGGGCAUAUUAGUGUUAUUAAACUUCGUCCAUUGUUUGAUCUAUUUAAUUUUUUGAAAAAAGGUUUUUGCAAUUACUAAAUUGGUCAUAUUGUGUACACAGUACACUAUGAUCGAUUUCAAUUCUGGGUUAUAAUCAUCUUUUUGUUACAUACUUUACUUACAUGUCUCUCACUUGUAUUCCACUUUUUCUAUCUCAUGUGUUGAAAAUGAUACUUUAUUUCCCACUUUCUGUAUAAUUUUAAUAAUUUUUUUCUUUGUUUGAUUAUUACACUGUUGAAUAUCCUGAUGAUGGAUAAAGUUAAGUCUUAUGUUGAGAGUCAUGUAUUCAAUAAUAAUAAUAAGGUAUGUAUAAUAUGUGGUAGCCUACUUGCUCACCUCUAGAAAAAAUGGUCUUGACUUUUUUUUAUCUUACUAUAAUACUAUUAUUUCAUUAACUUAUUGUUAUAUAUGUUUUACUGAAAUGUUGUUAGCAUUUUUGUAUAUCUUAAUCUUUUUUUUUAUGGUGGCUUAAUAUUUUCAUAAAUUAGUCUCUAUUGUAUUAAUGUCAAUAAUAUGUCAGUUCGAGUUGAUAAAAGAUUUGAAUUAUUCAAAACAUAUGUGGAAGAUUGUUGUCAGAAUUACAAAAAAUUGGUAUGCGCAACUUCCACCCAAACCUGGACAUCUGGAAAUGAUAUUGAUGGACUGUAAGGUGAUAACAUAUCCUAUAAUUUUUAAUAUGUUUGAAAAAUUACUAAUGUCCAAUUGUUUUAAUUAAUUCAGGGAGACAAGAUCCAAGUUCAAUCAAUGGAGAGAACAUUUGAUUGAAAAUAACACCUAUUUCAUGCACAAUUUCAAUGUGAUGCACAAUGAUCUCUCAUUUAAGGCAUGCAAUCUUGUCAACAAAAUGUAGUUUACUGCUAGUACAAUUAUGAAAGAUAGAGACUUUCCUGAUGUUCUUCAAUUUGAAUAUGAUUUAUAAAAGUUUGGUAAGAUAUUUGUUGUGAACUUUCAAAGUGAUGUGUUAGUAGGUUAGUUUUUUU